UACGGAGGAUGCAAGCGUUAUCCGGAAUGAUUGGGCGUAAAGCGUCCGCAGGUGGCUGUGUAAGUCUGUCGUUAAAGAAUGAGGCUCAACCUCAUAAGGGCGAUGGAAACUACAAGGCUAGAGUACGUUCGGGGCAGAGGGAAUUCCUGGUGUAGCGGUGGAAUGCGUAGAUAUCAGGAAGAACACCGGUGGCGAAGGCGCUCUGCUAGGCCGUAACUGACACUGAGGGACGAAAGCUAGGGGAGCGAAUGGG
rnacentral:rRNA from 1 species